GACGAACGCUGGCGGCGUGCUUAACACAUGCAAGUCGAACGGAAAGGCCCUGCUUUUGUGGGGUGCUCGAGUGGCGAACGGGUGGGUAACACGUGAGUAACCUGCCCUUGACUUUGAGAUAACUUCAGGAAACUGGGGCUAAUACCGGAUAGGAGCUCCUGCUGCAUGGUGGGGGUUGGAAAGUUUCGGCGGUUGGGGAUGGACUCGCGGCUUAUCAGCUUGUUGGUGGGGUAGUGGCUUACCAAGGCUUUGACGGGUAGCCGGCCUGAGGGGGUGACCGGCCACAUUGGGACUGAGAUACGGCCCAGACUCCUACGGGAGGCAGCAGUGGGGAAUAUUGCACAAUGGGCGGAAGCCUGAUGCAGCAACGCCGCGUGCGGGAUGACGGCCUUCGGGUUGUAAACCGCUUUCGCCUGUGACGAAGCGUGAGUGACGGUAAUGGGUAAAGAAGCACCGGCUAACUACGUG
rnacentral:rRNA from 1 species